ensembl:lincRNA
GGGCAGGCUCUUGGCUGACCUCUCCAACCCUCUCAUGUUAGGUCCGGAAACAGCAGAAGGAACAUACAAAUCUCAUGGCAGAAUAUCGAAACAAACAGCAGCAACAACAACAGCAGCAGCAGCAGCAGCAACAACAGCAGCAGCACUCGACUGUGCUGGCCCUCAGCCCUUCUCAGAGUUCUCGUGUACUUACCAAGCUCCCUGGCCAGCUGCUCCCUGGCCAUGGGCUACAACAACCACAGGCACCUCCGGGUGGGCAGGCUGGAGGUCUUCGCCUGCCUCCAGGGGGGAUGGUACUACCUGGACAGCCUGGAGGCCCAUUCCUCAACACAGCCUUGGCCCAACAACAGCAGCAGCAACAUUCUGGUGGGACUGGAUCCUUGACUGGCCCCUCAGGGGGCUUCUUCCCUGGCAAUCUUGCUCUCCGAAGCCUUGGACCUGACUCAAGACUUUUACAGGAAAGGCAGCUACAGCUGCAACAGCAGCGCAUGCAGCUGGCCCAGAAACUGCAGCAGCAGCAGCAGCAGCAGCAGCAGCAGCAGCAGCAGCAGCACCAGCACCUCUUAGGGCAGGUGGCAAUCCAGCAGCAACAGCAGCAAGGUCCCGGAGUACAAGCAAACCAAGCUCUGGGCCCCAAGCCUCAGGGGCUUCUGCCUCCCAGCAACCACCAGGGCCUCCUGGUCCAACAGCUGUCCCCUCAGCAACUGCAAGGGUCCCAGGGUGUGCUGGGUCCUGCCCAGGUGGCAGUGUUGCAGCAACAGCACCCUGGAGCUUUGGGUCCUCAGGUCCCUCACAGACAGGUGCUUAUGACUCAGUCCAGGGUACUGAGUUCCCCUCAGCUACCACAGCAGGGUCACAGCCUUAUGGGACACCGGCUAGUCACUGCCCAGCAGCAGCAGCAACAACAGCAGCAACAACAGCAGGGACCCAUGUCAGGGCUUUCCCAUCUUCAGCAAGGACUGAUAGCACAUGGUGGACAGCCCAAAUUGAGUGCUCAGGCCUUGGGCGCCUUACAGCAGCAACAGCUUCAGCAGCAGCAGCUUCAACAACAGCAACUCCAACAGCAGCAGCAACAGCAGCAGAUAGGCCUCUUGAACCAGAGUCGAACUUUACUGUCUCCGCAGCAGCAGCAACAGCAGCAGCAGCAGCAGCAGAUGACGACGACGACGACGACGACGACGACGACACUUGGGCCUGGCAUGCCAGCCAAGCCUCUUCAACACUUUUCUAGCCCUGGAGCUCUGGGUCCAACCCUCCUCCUAUCAGGCAAGGAACAAAAUACUGUAGAGACAACGCUUCCUUCAGAGGUCACUGAGGGGCCCUCGACACAUCAAGGAGGGCCACUUGGAGUAGGAACUACACCUGAAUCAAUGGCCGUUGAACCAGGGGAGGUAAAACCCUCUGUUUCUGGAGACUCACAACUCCUGCUUAUCCAAUCCCAGGCUCAGCCUCAACCCAACUCUCUGCAGCCACCUCUGAGACUCCCAGGACAACCGCAGCAGCAGGUUAACUUGCUCCACACAGCUGGUGUAGGAAACCAUGGGCAGCAGUUAGGCAGUGGAUCCUCUUCUGAGGCCCCGUCUAUGCCCCACCUGCUGUCCCAGCCUUCUCUUUCCUUAGGAGAGCAGCCUGGGCCUAUGACCCAGAACCUUCUGGGCCCCCAACAACCUCUUGGACUAGAGCGACCAAUGCAAAAUAACACAGGGCCACAGCCUCCCAAAUCAGGACCCGUCCCCCCGUCUGGGCAGGGUCUCCCUGGGGUUGGAGUCAUGCCUACAGUGGGUCAACUUCGAGCACAGCUCCAGGGAGUCCUGGCCAAAAACCCGCAGCUGCGGCACUUGAGUCCUCAGCAGCAGCAGCAGCUGCAGGCAUUACUCACACAGCGGCAGCUGCAGCAGAGUCGGGGAGUACACCAGACCCCACCCUUCCAGGAGCCGGGGACCCAGCCCUCUCCCCUUCAGGGCCUCCUGAGUUGCCAACCUCAACCUGGGGGUUUUCCUGGAUCCCAGACAGGCCCCCUCCAGGAGCUAGGGGCAGGGCCUCGACCUCAGGACCUACCCCGGCUCCCUGUCCCACAAGGAGCCUUAUCCACAGGACCAGCCCUUGGCCCUGUCCAUCCUACACCUCCACCAUCUAGUCCCCAAGAGCCAAAGAGACCUUCACAAUUACCUUCCCCCAGUGCCCAGCUCACCCCUACCCAUCCAGGGACUCCAAAGCCCCAAGGACCAACCUUGGAGCUGCCUCCUGGCAGAGUCUCACCUGCUGCUGCCCAACUCGCAGAUAACUUCUUUGGCAAGGGACUGGGACCUUGGGACCCCUCAGAUAACCUCAUAGAGGCCCAGAAGCUAGAGCAGAACAACCUUGUUCCCGGGCAUCUGGAGCAGGUGAAUGGACAGGUGGUACACGAACCACCCCAACUCGGCAUCAAGCAGGAGCCUAGGGAAGAGCCUUGUGCCCUGGGUUCCCAGGUGGUGAAGAGGGAGGCCAAUGGAGAGCCAGUAGGGGCACCAGGCACCAGCAACCACCUUCUGCUAGCAGGCCCCCGCUCAGAGGCUGGGCAUCUGCUCCUGCAGAAGCUUCUACGAGCAAAGAAUGUGCAACUUGGUGCUGGGCGGGGGUCUGAGGGGCUGCGAGCUGAGAUCAACGGACACAUUGACAGCAAGUUGGCUGGGCUGGAGCAGAAACUGCAGGGUUCUCCUAGCAACAGGGAGGAUGCAGCGGUAAGGAAGCCUUUGACGACAAAGCCCAAGCGGGUACAGAAAGCCAGUGACAGGUUGGUGAGCUCCCGAAAGAAGCUUCGGAAGGAAGACGGGGUCAGGGCAAACGAGGCCUUGCUGAAACAGCUAAAACAGGAACUGUCCCUGCUGCCUCUGACGGAGCCUACCAUCACCUCCAAUUUUAGCCUCUUUGCUCCCUUUGGUAGUGGCUGCCCAGUCGGUGGGCAGAGUCAGCUGAGAGGGGCCUUUGGAAGUGGGACCCUGCCCACCGGCCCUGACUACUAUUCCCAGCUGCUUACAAAGAAUAACCUGAGUAACCCGCCGACACCACCCUCGUCGCUGCCCCCCACCCCACCCCCAUCGGUGCAGCAGAAGAUGGUGAAUGGCGUCACCCCCUCUGAAGAGCUGGGGGAGCACCCCAAGGAUGCGGCCUCUGCCCGGGACACUGAAGGAACACUGAGGGGUAAGUGAAGAGCUGCUUUUGCUUUCCCAGUGGAUUUGGUGGCUGAGAUCCAGGCA